CAUGACUUAAGAUUAGAAUUUAAGGAGACCUAUUGAGAAUAGAUUUCUUGUAGGCUUUGAGCAUCAUGAGGAUUAGCACUGCUAUUCCGAUUCAGAGAUAACGUUAAACGACAGGCAUUGCCUAUACAGGUUGAGCAGUUGAUGGAAUGGAAUGAUGUUGAGCGGGUGUUCCUUUGACAUUUCAAGAAAUGUAACCUUGAGUAGUAUAUCUUCAUAUGUAUAUCUCACACGUUUUCCGCUGCAAAGCACUUUGAUUAGGAUAGCUCUAUGUUAUGAAGUUGUUAUACGUGUUAUUGGGUAAACCACCUUAAUCAGUUCUCAUUUAUGUGUAUGUUUUAUAAGUAUCCAAAUAAUCAUAUAUGAUCCUAGCAUUUUAUC